UGGGGCGGGACGAUCGCGUAAUGGAGCUAGGGAGAGUGUGGGCAGGGCGGGGCUGAUGUAGAGGAGGGAGGUGAGGGGCAAAGUGGGUGGGGCGAGGGCCAAGAUGAGGGUCAGGCAAUCUGUGGGCAGACCUGGUAGUUUGCUGGUGGAGCUGAUCUGGGAAGGGGCGCGAAAGAAGAUGGAGGCAGGGCGGGCUGUAGGUGGAGCUGUUAGGUUGGAAAGGCGGGGCUAAAACUAGUCUUGGGAGGUGGGAGAGGGGCAGAGGAGGCCUGGUGAGGCACUGCAAAUCUAAUAGUGCUCCAGGUCCACUCCCAGACACAGUUUUUCUGAGGUCAGAGGAAAAUGAAUCUGGCUUUAUUCCACAAAAGCCUUGACAGAGCAAGACCUGUUUUCCUGAACAUUUUCUCGUCUUCCCUCUACUAGGCCCAGGGGGUCCCCCUAAACUGAAGGAUCCGCACACCACCCUACACAAUCCCACCAGGAUCCCCUCUCCUGUUGAAGUUAGGCCUAUGCCUGGUUCUUGGUACCGUGGCGCCACCAAGUGGAGGUCCCUACCAAGAUAAGGAAAGUGAAGAGCCUCUGAUGGGAUCAUUCCAAGAAGCUGGCCGGUGAAGUGAAAGGAACGUAUUGGCUCAGAAGUUUAGUUCGCAGUAAGUAAAAGGGUUGUGCCAUGGGAACCUCAAGUUCCACAUUACAGCUAAUAGAUCAGAUAGUAGCUCUGCUCAAGCAGCAGGGAACAGAGAUAAAGGUAAAAACAGCUAAAGAAUUUAUUAAAACUUUAGAAAAGACUAGUCCCUGGUUUGUUCAUUCAGGAGUACUUAGUAUUCCUGAUUGGGAACAUGUUAAGACAGAUUUG
rnacentral:sRNA from 1 species